CCUACGGGAGGCAGCAGUAGGGAAUAUUGCUCAAUGGGGGAAACCCUGAAGCAGCAACGCCGCGUGGAGGAUGAAGGCUUUCGGAUUGUAAACUCCUUUUGUUAGAGAAGAUAAUGACGGUAUCUAACGAAUAAGCACCGGCCAAUUCCGUGCUAGCAGCCGCGGUAAUACGGAGGGUGCAAGCGUUCUUCGGAAUCACUGGGCGUAAAGUGCGCGUAGGCGGGAUAGCAAGUCAGAUGUGAAAUCCUAUGGCUUAACCAUAGAACUGCAUUUGAAACUGUUAUUCUAGAGUAUGGGAGAGGUAGGUGGAAUUCUUGGUGUAGCGGUGAAAUGCGUAGAGAUCAAGAGGAAUACUGAUUGCGAAGGCGACCUGCUGGAACAUAACUGACGCUGAUGCGCGAAAGCGUGGGGAGCAAACAGGAUUAGAUACCCUUGUAGUC
rnacentral:rRNA from 1 species